CAGCCGCCGCGGGAAUACAGAGGGUGCAAGCGUUAAUCGGAAUUACUGGGCGUAAAGCGCGCGUAGGUGGUUCGUUAAGUUGGAUGUGAAAUCCCCGGGCUCAACCUGGGAACUGCAUCCAAAACUGGCGAGCUAGAGUAGGGCAGAGGGUGGUGGAAUUUCCUGUGUAGCGGUGAAAUGCGUAGAUAUAGGAAGGAACACCAGUGGCGAAGGAGACCACCUGGGCUCAUACUGACACUGAGGUGCGAAAGCGUGGGGAGCAAACAGGAUUAGAUACCCGUGUAGUCCCUGUCUCUUAUAC
rnacentral:rRNA from 1 species